GCCUGGCUGGCUCAGUUGGUGGGGUAUGUGACUCUUGAUCUCAGGGUUGUGAGUUCAAGCCCCACAUCGGGUG
rnacentral:tRNA from 1 species